CCUACGGGCGGCAGCAGUGGGGGAUAUUGCACAAUGGGGGAAACCCUGAUGCAGCGACGCCGCGUGUGGGAAGACGGUCCUCUGGAUUGUAAACCACUGUCCCCAGGGACGAAGAUGACGGUACCUGGGGAGGAAGCUCCGGCUAACUACGUGCCAGCAGCCGCGGUAAUACGUAGGGAGCAAGCGUUGUCCGGAUUUACUGGGUGUAAAGGGUGCGUAGGCGGCCCUGCAAGUCAGAAGUGAAAUCCAUGGGCUUAACCCGUGAACUGCUUUUGAAACUGUAGGGCUUGAGUGAAGUAGAGGCAGGCGGAAUUCCCGGUGUAGCGGUGAAAUGCGUAGAGAUCGGGAGGAACACCAGUGGCGAAGGCGGCCUGCUGGGCUUUAACUGACGCUGAAGCACGAAAGCGUGGGUAGCAAACAGGAUUAGAUACCCCUGUAGUC
rnacentral:rRNA from 1 species